rnacentral:rRNA from 1 species
UUUUGUAUAAUGGGUCAGCGACUUAUAUUCUGUAGCAAGGUUAACCGAAUAGGGGAGCCGAAGGGAAACCGAGUCUUAACUGGGCGUUAAGUUGCAGGGUAUAGACCCGAAACCCGGUGAUCUAGCCAUGGGCAGGUUGAAGGUUGGGUAACACUAACUGGAGGACCGAACCGACUAAUGUUGAAAAAUUAGCGGAUGACUUGUGGCUGGGGGUGAAAGGCCAAUCAAACCGGGAGAUAGCUGGUUCUCCCCGAAAGCUAUUUAGGUAGCGCCUCGUGAAUUCAUCUCCGGGGGUAGAGCACUGUUUCGGCAAGGGGGUCAUCCCGACUUACCAACCCGAUGCAAACUGCGAAUACCGGAGAAUGUUAUCACGGGAGACACACGGCGGGUGCUAACGUCCGUCGUGAAGAGGGAAACAACCCAGACCGCCAGCUAAGGUCCCAAAGUCAUGGUUAAGUGGGAAACGAUGUGGGAAGGCCCAGACAGCCAGGAUGUUGGCUUAGAAGCAGCCAUCAUUUAAAGAAAGCGUAAUAGCUCACUGGUCGAGUCGGCCUGCGCGGAAGAUGUAACGGGGCUAAACCAUGCACCGAAGCUGCGGCAGCGACGCUUAUGCGUUGUUGGGUAGGGGAGCGUUCUGUAAGCCUGUGAAGGUGUACUGUGAGGUAUGCUGGAGGUAUCAGAAGUGCGAAUGCUGACAUAAGUAACGAUAAAGCGGGUGAAAAGCCCGC